rnacentral:rRNA from 1 species
CAGAGGUCCCAAGCGUUGUUCGGAUUUACUGGGCGUAAAGGGUGCGUAGGUGGUGAGGAAAGUCUGAUGUGAAAGCUCGGAGCUCAACUCCGAAAUGGCAUUGGAAACUACCUUGCUAGAGGGUUGGAGGGGGGACUGGAAUACUUGGUGUAGCAGUGAAAUGCGUAGAUAUCAAGUGGAACACCAGUGGCGAAGGCGAGUCCCUAGACAACUCCUGACACUGAGGCACGAAAGCUAGGGGAGCAAACGGGAUUAGAUACCCCGGUAGUCCUAGCUGUAAACGGUGUGUAUUUGCUGUAAGUGGAUUCGACCCCACUUGUGGCGUAGCAAACGCGUUAAAUACACCGCCUGGGAAGUACGGUCGCAAGAUUA